rnacentral:rRNA from 1 species
GAUGAACGCUGGCGGCGUGCCUAAUACAUGCAAGUCGAGCGAACGGACGAGAAGCUUGCUUCUCUGAUGUUAGCGGCGGACGGGUGAGUAACACGUGGAUAACCUACCUAUAAGACUGGGAUAACUUCGGGAAACCGGAGCUAAUACCGGAUAAUAUUUUGAACCGCAUGGUUCAAAAGUGAAAGACGGUCUUGCUGUCACUUAUAUAUGGAUCCGCGCUGCAUUAGCUAGUUGGUAAGGUAACGGCUUACCAAGGCAACGAUGCAUAGCCGACCUGAGAGGGUGAUCGGCCACACUGGAACUGAGACACGGUCCAGACUCCUACGGGAGGCAGCAGUAGGGAAUCUUCCGCAAUGGGCGAAAGCCUGACGGAGCAACGCCGCGUGAGUGAUGAAGGUCUUCGGAUCGUAAAACUCUGUUAUUAGGGAAGAACAUAUGUGUAAGUAACUGUGCACAUCUUGACGGUACCUAAUCAGAAAGCCACGGCUAACUACGUG